AGAGUUUGAUCCUGGCUCAGGAUGAACGCUAGCGGUGUGCCUAAUGCAUGCAAGUCGAACGGGAUCCUUUAGAUUCGUCUUAAGGUGAGAGUGGCGGACGGGUGAGUAACGCGUUGGUGACCUGCCCCAGAGAGGGGGACAACCAUUGGAAACGAUGGCUAAUACCCCAGAUGUCAUUGUGUUUAGAAAACAAUGACUAAACGCUCCGGCGCUCUGGGAGGGGCCUGCGUCCCAUCAGCUAGUUGGUAAGGUAAUGGCUUACCAAGGCAAAGACGGGUAGGGGGCGUGAGAGCGUGACCCCCCACACUGGUACUGAAACACGGACCAGAUACCUACGGGUAGCAGCAGCAAGGAAUAUUGCCCAAUGGACGAAAGUCUGAGGCAGCAACACCGCGUGGAGGACGAAAGCCUUCGGGUUGUAAACUCCUUUUCUGGGGGAAGAGAACGGACGGUACCCCAGGAAUAAGGCCCGGCUAACUACGUGCCAGCAGCCGCGGUAAAACGUAGGGGUCAAGCGUUAUCCGGAUUUACUGGGCGUAAAGAGCAUGUAGGCGGUUGCUUAAGUCGGACGUGAAAGCUCCUGGCUCAACUAGGAGAGGCCGUUCGAAACUAAGUAACUCGAGGAUGGUAGAGGAGAGUGGAAUUCCCGGUGUAGUGGUGAAAUGCGUAGAUAUCGGGAGGAACACCAGUGGCGAAGGCGGCUCUCUGGGCCAUUCCUGACGCUGAGAUGCGAAAGCUAGGGGAGAGAACGGGAUUAGAAACCCCGGUAUUCCUAGCCGUAAACGAUGUCAACUAGGUGUAGGAGGUAUUGACCCCUUCUGUGCUGCAGCAAACGCGUUAAGUUGACCGCCUGGGGACUACGGCCGCAAGGCUAAAACUCAAAGGAAUUGAUGG
rnacentral:rRNA from 1 species